GACGAACGCUGGCGGCGUGCUUAACACAUGCAAGUCGAACGAUGAACCUCGAAAUGAUUUCUUCGGAAAGAUUUUUGAGAGGAUUAGUGGCGAACGGGUGAGUAACGCUUGAGCAACCUGCCUUAGACAAGGGGAUAGCCUCGGGAAACCGUGAUUAAUACCCUAUGAGACUCCACUUACGAGUGUAAGAGAUGUUAAAGCUAUUGCGGUCUAAGAUGGGCUCGCGUCUGAUUAGCUAGUUGGUGAGAUAAAAGCCCACCAAGGCGACGAUCAGUAACCGGCAUGAGAGAGUGAACGGUCACAUUGGAACUGAGACACGGUACAAACUCCUACGGGAGGCAGCAGUGGGGGAUAUUGCACAAUGGGGGCAACGCUGAUGCAGCGACGCCGCGUGAGCGAUGAAGGAAUUCGUUACGUAAAGCUCUGUCCUUGGAGAAGAUAAUGACGGUAACCAAGGAGGAAGCACCGGCUAAAUACGUG
rnacentral:rRNA from 1 species